UGAGAGCACUUGGCCCGGUGUGUGGCAUCU
rnacentral:piRNA from 1 species